UACAGAGGGGGCAAGCGUUAUUCGGAAUUAUUGGGCGUAAAGGGCGCGUAGGCGGCUUGGCAAGUGGAUGGUGAAAUCCCUCGGCUUAACCGAGGAACUGCCGUCCAAACUGCUUCGCUUGAGACCGGGAGAGGUGAGUGGAAUUCCCAGUGUAGCGGUGAAAUGCGUAGAUAUUGGGGAGGAACACCAGUGGCGAAGGCGGCUCACUGGACCGGUACUGACGCUGAUGCGCGAAAGCGUGGGGAGCAAACGGG
rnacentral:rRNA from 1 species